GGGUGCUCCUCCACUGGGGUGUGAUUUUGAUCUUUCGAGGAAGUAUUUUUUAUCGCUUAUGGUCGAUAGGUUUUGAAGCGGAGCUAAGCCGUCCGUCCAAAUUGUUCCACCGGAAUUUAGGAAAUAUAGCUCGUUGAAGAGAGUUACAGGGUACCAUUCUGGUAGCCUUUUGUCUUCAACGAUUGGCCUUUGCCAUGCUUCUAUCUGGG
rnacentral:misc_RNA from 1 species